rnacentral:lncRNA from 1 species
GAUGAUGGUCAAGAGCAAAAAGUUUCAGUACCAUACCGCAUCAUGGAAGCAAGCUGAAAUAAAAUGGGACUGAGAUGCAGACAAACAGAACUGAAGAGGGGCCCUGUCUGUGGAAGUCCGUGUCUCAUGCUGUCAUUGGAGUGCUAUGGCGAAAGAGCUUUCGAUAAGCUGCUGCACCUCUGCCCUUUUUGAUAGUCUGUGACAUUACACAGUGAGGUAAAAUGAAAGAAGAUUUUGCCUCUGUGUUCUGCAGAUUCAUCCUGUUUCAACGGACUUUACCUUAUAAGAAUUCAUCAGAACUGCGCAUUCAUCUGGCUUUGAUGUGGAACCGAAUGUCUCGCUCUUGCCUCAUACGACUCGUGGAUCAAGUGGCUCACUGUGUGAGAGGGAUGCCUAAUUCCUGGAUUCUGAUCGUGCUUACGUAUGGCAAAGUUACCUACCUUCUCAAACUUAUCAAGCAGAUGAGUGGAGAGCAGAGCAGGCGUGGCCUAACUUAUUGA